GACGAACGCUGGCGGCGUGCUUAACACAUGCAAGUCGAACGAUGAAGCUGGAGCUUGCUCUAGCGGAUUAGUGGCGAACGGGUGAGUAACACGUGAGCAAUCUGCCCUUGACUCUGGGAUAACUGCGGGAAACUGUAGCUAAUACCGGAUACUUUCACCGGAAGGCAUCUUCUGGUGAUGAAAGAAUUUCGGUCAGGGAUGAGCUCGCGGCCUAUCAGCUUGUUGGUGAGGUAACGGCUCACCAAGGCGACGACGGGUAACCGGCCUGAGAGGGUGACCGGUCACACUGGGACUGAGACACGGCCCAGACUCCUACGGGAGGCAGCAGUGGGGAAUAUUGCACAAUGGGCGCAAGCCUGAUGCAGCAACGCCGCGUGAGGGACGAAGGCCUUCGGGUUGUAAACCUCUUUUAGCAGGGAAGAAGCGAAAGUGACGGUACCUGCAGAAAAAGCACCGGCUAACUACGU
rnacentral:rRNA from 1 species